AGAGUUUGAUCAUGGCUCAGAACGAACGCUGGCGGCAUGCCUAACACAUGCAAGUCGAACGUGAUCCGGGGCUUGCUCCGGUGAAAGUGGCGGACGGGUGAGUAACGCGUGGGAACCUGCCCAUUGGUCGGGGAUAACUGCGGGAAACUGCAGCUAAUACCCGGUAAGCCCUUGAGCUUAGGCUUUUGGGGAAAGAUUUAUCGCCAUUGGAGGGGCCCGCGUCGGAUUAGGUAGUUGGUGGGGUAAAGGCCUACCAAGCCUUCGAUCCGUAGCUGGUCUGAGAGGAUGAUCAGCCACACUGGGACUGAGAUACGGCCCAGACUCCUACGGGAGGCAGCAGUGGGGAAUAUUGGACAAUGGGCGCAAGCCUGAUCCAGCAAUGCCGCGUGAGUGAAGAAGGCCUUAGGGUUGUAAAGCUCUUUCGGCGGGGACGAUGAUGACGGUACCCGCAGAAGAAGCCCCGGCUAACUCCGUGCCAGCAGCCGCGGUAAUACGGAGGGGGCUAGCGUUGUUCGGAAUUACUGGGCGUAAAGGGCGCGUAGGCGGCGCGAUAAGUUGGGCGUGAAAGGCCCGGGCUCAACCCGGGGACUGCGCUUGAUACUGUCGCGCUGUGAGUCCGGGAGAGGAUGGCGGAAUUCCCAGUGUAGAGGUGAAAUUCGUAGAUAUUGGGAAGAACACCGGUGGCGAAGGCGGCCAUCUGGACCGGCACUGACGCUGAGGCGCGAAAGCGUGGGGAGCAAACAGGAUUAGAUACCCUAGUAGUCC
rnacentral:rRNA from 1 species